GCGCAGCAUUCAGAGGAAAGGCAAGGCUUCUUGGGGUAGGGCUAACAACAGAUCUUUUCCUCCGUUCGAUGAUUGGCUCAGAAAGAGAGUGGAGCUUACUUGUCUACCAUUUCCUAUGGUCGAUCCGUGGUAUCCGUUGGUUGAGGAGACUCCUUCUACUGUUAGUAUGGAUGAGUUCUUAGAGAUGAAGCGGGAACGAGAUCAGCUACUUGCAGAGAAGACGGAAUUGGAGAUGAGUGUUGCUCGGGUUCAGAGAGCUAAUCAGGAGCUCAAAGCAAAGAUGGAAGAUCAGGAUAAGCGGCAUGCUUCGGAGACCAAGCGAUUUGAGAUGGAUACAGCCUAUUAUGGGAAGAUCAGCCAGGCUUUAGC
rnacentral:lncRNA from 1 species